rnacentral:rRNA from 1 species
CGGGUGAGUAACGCGUGGGAAUCUACCCAACCCUACGGAACAACUCCGGGAAACUGGAGCUAAUACCGUAUACGCCCUUCGGGGGAAAGAUUUAUCGGGGAUGGAUGAGCCCGCGUUGGAUUAGCUAGUUGGUGGGGUAAAGGCCUACCAAGGCGACGAUCCAUAGCUGGUCUGAGAGGAUGAUCAGCCACAUUGGGACUGAGACACGGCCCAAACUCCUACGGGAGGCAGCAGUGGGGAAUAUUGGACAAUGGGCGCAAGCCUGAUCCAGCCAUGCCGCGUGAGUGAUGAAGGCCUUAGGGUUGUAAAGCUCUUUCACCGAUGAAGAUAAUGACGGUAGUCGGAGAAGAAGCCCCGGCUAACUUCGUGCCAGCAGCCGCGGUAAUACGAAGGGGGCUAGCGUUGUUCGGAAUUACUGGGCGUAAAGCGCACGUAGGCGGAUAUUUAAGUCAGGGGUGAAAUCCCGCAGCUCAACUGCGGAACUGCCUUUGAUACUGGGUAUCUUGAGUAUGGAAGAGGUAAGUGGAAUUCCGAGUGUAGAGGUGAAAUUCGUAGAUAUUCGGAGGAACACCAGUGGCGAAGGCGGCUUACUGGUCCAUU